CCCUAGUAACUGCGAGUGAAGCGGGAAAAGCUCAAAUUUAAAAUCUGGCGGUCUUUGGCUGUCCGAGUUGUAAUCUAGAGAAGUGUUACCCGCGCUGGACCGUGUAUAAGUCUCCUGGAAUGGAGCGUCAUAGAGGGUGAGAAUCCCGUCUUUGACACGGACUACCAGGGCUUUGUGGUGCGCUCUCAAAGAGUCGAGUUGUUUGGGAAUGCAGCUCAAAAUGGGUGGUAAAUUCCAUCUAAAGCUAAAUAUUGGCGAGAGACCGAUAGCGAACAAGUACCGUGAGGGAAAGAUGAAAAGAACUUUGGAAAGAGAGUUAAACAGUACGUGAAAUUGCUGAAAGGGAAACGCUUGAAGUCAGUCAUGUUGACCAGAAAUCAACCUUGCUUUUUGCUGGGCGUAUUUUCUGGUUGACAGGUCAGCAUCAGUUUUGACUGGUGGAAAAAGGCCAAGGGAAUGUGGCACCUUUGGGUGUGUUAUAGCCCUUGGUUGUAUACAUCAGUUGGGACUGAGGAACUCAGCAUGCCGUAAGGCCGGGUCUUUGACCACGUUCAUGCUUAGGAUGCUGGCAUAAUGGCUUUAAUCGACCCGUCUUGAAACACGGACCAAGGAGUCUAACAUGCCUGCGAGUGUUUGGGUGGAAAACCCGAGCGCGUAAUGAAAGUGAAAGUUGAGAUCCCUGUCGUGGGGAGCAUCGACGCCCGGACCUGAAGUUCUCUGACGGAUCUGCGGUAGAGCAUGUAUGUUGGGACCCGAAAGAUGGUGAACUAUGCCUGAAUAGGGUGAAGCCAGAGGAAACUCUGGUGGAGGCUCGUAGCGAUUCUGACGUGCAAAUCGAUCGUCAAAUUUGGGUAUAGGG
rnacentral:rRNA from 1 species